AGGUCAAGCUACAAAGGGCGCAUGGCGAAUGCCUUGGCGCUUGAGGCCGAUGAAGGACGCGGUUACCUGCGAAAAGAUCCGGGGAGUUGGUAGCAAACGGUGAUCCGGAUAUCUCCGAAUGGGGGAACCCAGCCGACGUAAGUUGGUUACCCGCACCUGAAUACAUAGGGUGCGCGGAGGGCACCGAGGGAACUGAAACAUCUCAGUACCUCGAGGAACAGAAAUUAUUCCCUUAGUAGUGGCGAGCGAAACGGGAAGAGCCCAAACCUGAUCCACGUGAUAGGCGUCAGCCGUUGUGGAUCGGGUGUCGUGAGGCGCGACGGCGGAUCUGACGAUCCGCGACGGAGUUCAAAAACGUGAUCGUUAGCGGAAGGUUGCCUGGAACGGCCCACCGAAGAGAGUGACAGUCUCGUACGCGAAAGCGAUCACGCUCCGGUCGAUGUCCUCGAGUACCACCCGGAAGGUCUCCAGGGUGGGAAACCGGGCAGACCAUUGUCCAAGGCUAAAUACCUCAAGCGACCGAUAGUGAACUAGUACCGUGAGGGAAAGGUGAAAAGCACCCCUGGCGGGGAGUGAAAUAGAAACUGAAACCGUGCGCCUACAAGCAGUCGAAGCGUGUUGCUGCGCAAGCAGUAGCGUGACGGCGUGCCUAUUGAAGAAUGAUCCGGCGAGUUAGCUGUAUGCGGCGAGGUUAAGGACUGACGUCCGGAGCCGAAGCGAAAGCGAGUCUGAAUAGGGCGUGGACCCAAAAGGUCCGUAGUCGCAUGCACUAGACCCGAAACCGCGUGAGCUACCCAUGGCCAGGCUGAAGCGGAGGUAAUACUCCGUGGAGGGCCGAACUCUUCAACGUUGAAAAGUUGAGGGAUGAGCUGUGGGUAGAGGCGAAAUGCCAACCGAACGCGGAGAUAGCUGGUUCUCCUCGAAAUAGUUCUAGGACUAGCGUUGCGCAUUCCCUCUUUGAGGUAGAGCACUGGAUGGGCUAGGGGGCUUACCGCUUACCAAACCCAACCAAACUCCGAAUGCGAAGAGGCGAAGCGUGGCAGUCAGUCUUCGGGGGCUAAGCUCCGGAGACAAAAGGGAAACAGCCCAGACCAACAGCUAAGGUCCCUGAAUCCAGGCUAAGUGGGAAAGGAUGUUGGAUCGCUCAGACAACCAGGAUGUUGGCUUAGAAGCAGCCAUCAUUGAAAGAGUGCGUAACAGCUCACUGGUCGAGUGAUCCAGCGCCGAAAAUCCAACGGGGCUCAAGCCUGGUACCGAAGCUUUGGAUGUGUGGAUCCUUCGGGGUCCAUGCGUGGUAGAGGAGCGUUCUCAGCGCAGUGAAGGUGGACCGUGAGGACCGCUGGAGUGCUGAGAAGUGCGAAUGCCGGAACGAGUAGCGAAACGCGUGUGAGAAACAUGCGCGCCGUAUGCCUAAGGUUUCCUGAGGAAGGUUAAUCCGCUCAGGGUCAGUCGGGCCUAAGACGAGGCCGAAAGGCGUAGUCGAUGGACAGCGGGUUUAUAUUCCCGCACCGCUCAAGAUCGUUAUCAGCGAAGGGGUGACUCAGUCUGGUAGUCCGAGCGCACUUUGGCUAUGUGCGUCUAAGCCGGUAGCCGCCCUUGGAUAGGUAAAUCCGUCCGAGGAUCAAGGUGAGAGGCGAAUGCGAGUUGCAGCAAUGCAGCGAGUUGGGCAAGCCAAGCUGACGAGAAAAGCCUCUAGCGAGAUCGAGAGUGCCCGUACCGCAAUCCGACUCAGGUAGGCGGGUGGAGUACACCAAGGCGAUCGGGAGAACCCUCCUAAAGGAACUCUGCAAAAUGACCCCGUAACUUCGGGAGAAGGGGUGCCUCGCACGCUUCGCAGCAAUGUGGAGCAAGUGAUCGAGGCCUCAGAUAAACGGGCUAAGCGACUGUUUAACAAAAACACAGGUCUCUGCGAAGGGGAAACCCUACGUAUAGGGGCUGACGCCUGCCCAGUGCCGGAAGGUUAAUGGGAGAGCUGCAAGGCUUGAACUGAAGCCCCGGUGAACGGCGGCCGUAACUAUAACGGUCCUAAGGUGGAUCGCUGCCUUAGAGAAAUCCGACCAAAUGCUGGAACACCUGGCGCAUCCGCAAGUACUCGCCGAUCUCAUAAGGAUGGGCAGUGACAAUCUUCGCGGCGUUCCCGAAAGGGAGCCAGACAAUCAGCAGGAAAGGCUCAUCACUACUGGAUGGGUUACUGGAUUCGUAGACGGAGAGGGAUGCUUCUCCAUCGGGCUUACUCGUCAACCUGAUCGAGUGAACCGAAAAGGCUACCUAACCGGCUUUCAGGUCUCGCAUGAUUUCGUGGUGACGCAGGGCGCGAAGAGCGUCCAUGUGCUCUACGAGCUUCAGGAGUUCUUCGGCGUCGGACGCGUGAACGUCAAUUCACGCCACGACAACCACCGAGAACACCUCUACCGCUACAGCGUGUGUCGACGGGCGGACCUACUGAACGUGGUGAUCCCAUUCUUCAGGCGGUAUCCGUUGCGAUCGGCGAAGCAACGCGACUUCGAGAGCUUCGCGCGGUGUGUCGAGCUGAUGGUUGACCAACAGCACACGAGCAUCGCCGGCCUCAUCGAGAUCGUCGAGAUCAUGCAGACGAUGAAUCGCCAAAAACCCAGAGACGUGGAGCUGAGAAUCCUCAGAGACCAUACGUCGGACGUCCGAGACAUCGGAUAAAGAGAUGGUCCCGACUGCAUGGCGACAUGCAGGAUCGAUUUCUGCUGCAAGGACAGAAUCGUUCGCUCGGCAUGGCCGAGUAAGACCGUCCAGCGAAAUUCCUUGUCGGGUAAGUUCCGACCCGCACGAAAGGCGUAACGACUUAGCCGCUGUCUCUAGGAGGGACCCGGCGAAACUGAGAUACCCGUGAAGACGCGGGUUACGCACACUUGGACAAAAAGACCCCGUGGAGCUUUACUGCAUCUUGGCAUUGGACUGGGGUUUCGCAUGUGUAGCAUAGGUGGGAGACUGUGAAGCCGGGGCGCUAGCCUCGGUGGAGUCAUCAGUGAAAUACCACCCUUGCGGAACUUCGGCUCUAACGGCUGUCCGUGAUCCGGCAGCCGGACAUUGCCAGGUGGGCAGUUUGACUGGGGCGGUCGCCUCCUAAAAGGUAACGGAGGCGCCCAAAGGUACCCUCAGGCUGGUUGGAAAUCAGCCUCAGAGUGCAAAGGCAUAAGGGUGCUUGACUGUGAGGCAUACACGCCGAGCAGGGACGAAAGUCGGGCUUAGUGACCUUCGGGUCCCGAGUGGAAGGGCCCGGAAUCAUCGGAUAAAAGCUACCCCGGGGAUAACAGGCUUAUGACGCCCAAGCGUUCACAGCGACGGCGUCGUUUGGCACCUCGAUGUCGGCUCGUCGCAUCCUGGGGGGGCAGUACCUCCCAAGGGUCGGGCUGUUCGCCCGUUAAAGCGGUACGCGAGCUGGGUUCAGAACGUUGUGAAACAGUUCGAGAUCUGAGCUGUUGACUCUCACGCGACGUUCACGGUUUGCCUGUUAGCAAUGAGAGCUCGGCAACCUCAUGCCGAGAACAAAUCUGGCUAAAUGCUGGGAACUCCGAGCAUCCUCCGCUACUGCCAUGAGCAGUGAAAACGCGUGAGGUGCGGACAAUCAGCAGGAAAGACCUCGAUCGAUCGAGGAAUCCUCACAGGCCAUACGCCGGACUCGCUCUGAUCGAGCGAGAAGAUAUGGUCGGAUCCCUGCGGCGACGCAGGGAGCCAGCGAAAACCGAAAUCAGCUGGCCUAGUAACAAAGAGUCGGUCUCUAUCCAGUGUGCGCGCAGGUGAGUUGCGAGGAGUUGCCCCCAGUACGAGAGGACCGGGGUGAGCGGACCGAUGGUGUACGAGUUGUUCUGCCAAGGGCAUUGCUCGGUAGCUAUGUCCGUUCGUGAUAACCGCUGAAAGCAUCUAAGUGGGAAGCACACCUCAAGAUGAGCUCACCCCCUGGGUCAACCAGGUAAGACCGCACGGAGAGUACGUGUUUGAUAGGCGGAGGGUGGAAGUGCCGCAAGGCAUGGAGCUGAUCCGUACUAACGGUCGAGAGGCUUGACCUAAUUU
rnacentral:rRNA from 1 species